rnacentral:tRNA from 1 species
GGGGUUAUGGCUCAGCGGUAGAGUGACCACCUCGCAUGUGUAAGGCCCUGGGUUCGAUCCUCAGUACCACA